AUGUUUUUAGACAUAUUCAAUUAUUGUAAUAACUAAGCAAAAUUUAUUUAAUUUGUUUUGCAAGCGGUUUGUUUUGAGGUGACAAUGGCGUGACAUUCUUCACUCAGAAAAAUAAAUAAGGCCAUAUAAUUCAGCAAGAUUUUUUACUUUAAUACAAUUCAAGUCAUUAUAAAAUGAUGGCCACGAUGUGAAUGCGAAAAAUAAAAAUAUAUAUUGGUGCACAAUAUACUUACCUAAAAGAGAAACUCGCGUAUUCGCUUUUGUGAUUACAUUGAACAACAAUUUUUGUGUCAAAAUUGAAUAACGUAACGCUUUCAACGUUUUUCAUAACAAUAAUAAUAACAAAAGUAUUAAUAACAUCAAUAAUAAUAAUACACAGCCCUCGGAAUUUCUUUUUUGUUGUUGUUGCUGUUGUUGUUGCAGAUAUUAAGGUGCUCUCAGAUGUCCUUACGGUCUUAUCACAGAGCACCGCGGAAGAGCAUUAAAGGAAGUUCACGCCUCCUUACUAAUGUCGGUUAAUGGGCUAAAGCCGUCGAACCUCGGACCUCUUAGUUUUGAGCCCGACCUCAAACCUGUGUAAAGGCUGCACAAAUUAAAGUCGGAAUUAGCAAUGCCGACCUAACUGCCGACCUAGAAGUGUUUGAAGUCGGCGAAAUAAAAUUAUGAAUAAAAUUAACAUAUGUUUUGCGCGAAACUUUAUAAUUUCAGAAACUUUGCUGAAAUCAAGUCAAAACACUGAUGUAAAUGAUUGAAUAAUUUGCCAGUUGUUUCCAAAUAUUGGAAUACUGAAGUAGACAUUUAGAUAUUAAACACGCUAUUAGCAGAUGCCAUAUUUUACACAAUGAGAAUCUUAUGGAAUAAAAAAUAUGUUUAUUUAACGUAUCCUUCUUGUUUUGGGCAGCUUCUGGGUUGUUUGCAAGAUAUUUGCGGAUUUGGGCAAUCAGGUUUACUAUCUAAAAAAUUCGUUUUAAUUCUGCUAUCUUUUCAUAGCAAUGCAAAGUUAGUUUGAGGAAUUAUUUGGAAAUCGGAAAAAUGGAAAUUGAUCCCUCAUAGAGAUAUUGGCUAUAAAACAAAUUCAAAAUAGUGAAUUUUGAGUUUUAUAAUGCUAUUUUGUUCAGAUAUCUCAGCACCACAAAAAACACCAAAUUUGUUUAUGCUGCAUUUAUACUUCUUGUAUUGAAGACGCAUACCUAAAAAUGUCAAAUUUUGAAUUAACUGUACAUCCUGUCAAUUUUCUGUCCGUAAAUUGACCAACAAGUUUCCCAAAAUAGACUAUGUCUUUAAUAUUUGAAAUUAUUUUGAAAGAAAAAUUUAUUUGUUAUUAAGUUGAAAUUCUGAAGAAAUCUUUUUAGUCCAUAAAACCUACAGAAGGUAUACAUUUCAAGAAAAUAAAACAUUGUCACAAGAGAAGGCUUGGCUCAUCUUAUAUGGAAUGACCCUAUUAUAUGCUUAUGAUAUAUAAACUUUAUACUAUAAUAGUAUUAUUAUUGUAAUAUAUAUUAUAUGAUAUUUUUAUAAUAAAUUUUUUCUAGUAAUAUAAUAUAAAUUAGUGUAGUAUUAUUAAACUAAUUAAAUUGUGCCAAAUAAUGUUGUUUAAUAAUGUUGUUUAAUACUUGUGUAAUAAUGGUGUUUACCUCUUACUGUCUGACCUGUCUGUUUAUUAUUACUGUUUUUAACAUUAAUUUUGUAUUGCAAGUAUUAAAAAAUGUUAAAUAUACUAUUUGUAAAAUUAACGUAGUAUAAACUAAUAAUAACUGCUUUACUUAUUUCUACAAUAGUUAAUAGUUGAAAAUAAUAAAGGCUGUUGUUGUCAAAUUUCUUGGGGAAAGAAAAUUGUUCUUGCUUGUAAUAUUGCUGAUAUUUUAACUAGUGUGAUUCAUUACAUGAAUACUUAUGCCAAAGCUUAAAUGGUCCACAAGUUAUGAAAUGGAUGUUCAGCCCUUGAUCAGUACAUAUAGUGGUUGUUUUGAUGGUUGUUUACUAUUUGCUAGAUUUGACAUAUUCUUUUUUUGGGCGGCUUCUGGGAUGUUAGCAAGAUAUUUGAGACUUUUUGCAAUUGGCUUAUUAUCUAAAAAAAGCAUUUUUCCUCUGCAAUCAUUGCAAAGCAAUGCAAAUUACUUUUGAAUUUAUAAAUGUUAAUAAGUUAUUUUAUUCAAUUAUUUUGUAAAUAAUUUAUUCAAUUAUUUUGUAAAUA
rnacentral:misc_RNA from 1 species